GCAGCACACGGGAAAGGGAAGCUAUCUGCAGAGGCAAUGGCAGUUGAAAAUCCGUGUGACACAGAAAACAUUUCAAGUAAUGAUGCUGAAAUGAAUAGUCAGGUUGAAAGUAUAAAUGAACAUUCAGAAAUGCAGCCAGAAGAUUAACAAAUAGAGGAACAAGGUGAGAGAAGAGAACAAUGGGGUGAAACGUGAACGGCAGUCAUUAGCAUUGUAUGGCAUCAUUCUAACUAUCGGCAGAAAGCGCAUCGGAAGGUGCCCCAUGGGAUGGGAGGGGCAGGGAAAUAAGGGAAAAUGAAUCUUUGUUUUAAUUCCUCUUAAUUCUCAAUUGCAUUUUGUUCUGUAAACCUGGUUUUUCUGAAAAAGCUUCCCUACUUUGGUCAUGAUGUCCCACUUCAAACAAUCUUUUGCAUUGUCCUGGCAAUUAGAAUAACGUCUAAGUCCUGUGUAAUAUUGGAGAUGCUUAUUUCCCCCCCCCUUCACGAGCCUCUGAAUCUCAUUUCCCAAUGAGGGCACAUCAUCCAAGCACCUGGUGGGAAUGGGAUUUUUUUGCAUUCUCUGGGAUAAAUUUGGGGAUUUGGUUUGAGGACGUGGACUGCCACAAAGCAUCAUAAACCACAGAACACUGUGUAUCUUAGGAAUUUUAAGAACAGCUGUUCCAAACUGUCACUAUAUUGAUAGUGAAGUUAUUGCACAGUGCCCACCUCCAGCAACAUCAGUUAGGAAUUCCUGACUGCAAGUGCCAGUGCAAAAUAGUUAGAGCUUUUAGAACAAAGACCCCUGCCACUAUAGAGAUAGUCAAAGAGCGAGGAGGAGUGUUUCCUAGUGCACAGUAGACUCCAACCUAUGCUUCACACUAUAAGCUUGGAAAUCUGGAUGCUUCAGGGUGUCGUAUUGCUGUAUUGUAUUCUCACUGGGAGAAUGGAGACAUCUAUUGCUCAUUGCUGAUCUCUUUAAAUCUUGAGUAUGAUUAGCAUAUCCUUUGCAUUGUAGCUGAUCAUAGCACAGCGUGUGAUGCAAAGUAAUGCCACGUGACCUAAUGCAGUUAGUGCAUCAAUUCUCUUCUCUGCUAGUGAAUUUGCACUUUUAAAAGUAAAUAAUUAUUUUAAGUGGGUACUUAAAGUACCUGUAGGCAACUAACAUUUUGCACAGCCUGUGAGUAAUGGAGGAUAACAGGCAUUCUGCAUCCAGCACGUCUUUAAAUCUAGUUUAUGGCUUUAACAAAUUCACUGUACCUUGUGUCAGCCCUCAUUAUAUUUUCUACUGCGUAUGCAUGAUUUUUAAAAAUGCAAUUAACAGUUAUUUGGCUAAGAAUGUUUUACCGUAUGUCAUUUGUUCUGCCAGCAAGUGCUGCAUUCAGAAAAGAGGGCUAUGUACAUUUUUUCAACAGUACUGUAAAAGAAAUUGAUACACAAGACUGAAGGAACGCACAGCAUGUGUCCAGGGUUUGAUGUUCUGCAAAAUAUAACAAUGUUAAAAACAAUUAGAGCUUUUUUCUUUUCUUUCUUCCCAAGAUUCUGGUUUUGCUUGAAUGUGUACAUUCUUUCCCCCAGUCCUGAAAUGAUUACUGAUUGGCUUGCAAAAAAUAAAAAAUAAAUAAAGGGAAAGGAGAUUGAAAUGUAUUGGCACUAUUCUGAUCAAUGCAUUUGUGCCAAAUUCACAUUGAUAUAACUAUGAGCUCUAUAUGUAUAUAAACAGUUUGACUGCUGCUGGCAUUUGCAGGUUGAUUAGAAAUAAUGACGAGACAAACCAGGAUCUAAAACAAGACCCCCAGAUUUGUCUGUGGGAGUGUGGCCACUAGCAGUGCCUGACAUCUUCCAAUAAACUGCUUUUAUGUACCUCUAUCAUUGGAGCCACUUGAUGAGCCCAGGGGGGAGGAGGAGGGCAUUGUCUGCAGUCACUUCUUGUGGCAUUGUUAGGGAACAUGGGGCGGGGGCUUCCAAGGCUUUUGGAUUUCUGUUUGGAGGCUAGAAGAUAUUUCACUUUGAGCAUGAUCAGUUUUUAAAGAAACUAGGUUUCAGAUGUAAUUAAUCCUGUUAGUUCCUGUUAAAACAGUGCCAGGAUUGUACUAUAUGUGCUAUGCUGGGUCAGAAAGCAUUUUGGACAUCCCUUCCUCUACCCUUAGACGCUUCUAUGCCUCUUCCUUUUCCAUUCCUGUUAGCUUGACCAAAGGUGUCUUCGGGGCCCAACAUGGACCCAGCCCUAAAUGUUAUUUUCCUUCUGUCCCUGUAUUUGUGUUUGGCUGGUUCCAAUUGCAGCAGUCAAAGGACUGGCAGAUUGUGUAUGAUGCACAUACACUAUGUUUCAUUAUCAAAUGAUUUCUCUUUAAAUAGCCUGUCAUCAUAGAACUGAUGCUAUCUCUGGGGGGAAAGAUAAUGUUAAUAAUGUUAAUCCUCCAUUUGUGUGUUCUCUUUAAAAAGGCAAAGAUUGAAGGGCUCCCGUUGUUUGUCAAGCUAGGGAAACUCCUCCAUAAAGCAUUUGGAAAGUCAAUUGGUGUGAGCUUUCUAAAGCCUGGUGGGAAACUGUCUGGGCCAAAUCUUCAGCUAAUUUAAAUGGUCACAGCUCCACUGAGUGUGGCUGAGGUAGGACAAUAUCCACAAGUCAUGGAUCUGGUCCUAAGUAUUUAAUUCUGAAGCUGUACGUGUCUGACUGUCACAGUCUUCCAUGUACAACACUAGAGAACGGCAGGCUGCUGCUAGCUAGUAUCCUGUGCCCCUCAAACAUUAGUGAGACUCAGGCUCAUCAAGGAGCAGAGAAGGAAGAUCAAUGCGAGCGACUGAUUAAAGAGGGGUGUUCAAAAAUAUACAGAGAGACAAGCCAAUCCUUAAACUCCUUGGCAAUACUGACUGAUAUUACAAAUAAUUAACUCCAAACAGAUUUCAGGUUAGAGGUUCUCCUUAUAACCCGUGACGGUAAGUUAAUUGCUACCGUCGUUUAACCUUGGUUCUCUUUAACAGCAGUGAUUCUUUGAAGCUGUGGAACUUUUGCCUGAGGACUCUGCAGCAAGCGUGAAGCACAGGCAGGAAGUGUAGAGUAAGAAAAUAUACGAGUUGGUUAAAUCUUAACAGUCCCAUUUUCAGUCAUGAGUGUGUAGCUUGGUUUCCUUGCUUCUUUGUUCAUGUGGCUUUGGGGUUGCAUUUGUUUAGGAUUUUUUAAUUAAAAAAAAUUAAUAAAAUGAUGUGUUAGGCAAUAUGAUUCUGAGCUCUUUGGUUAUUACUGGACUGGUGCACCCUGAAUGCAGCCACUAUUGAUUUUGCUGGAGCUACAGAAGUAGAGAGUAGGAUCUGUAGAAUAAAUAUCAGAAAUGGAUUAAUGCCACUAUAACAGGGGUUUUGGUUAACAACUAAAAUUUUAUCACAGUAUGUUCUGUGUAGAAAACAGAACCCCUAAAUAAGUGGGUUUUGCAUCCAAGUAUUAGCAUAUACUUUCAAUGUUCCAGUUGAAAAAAGUGCUUAUUCUACAAUUAGGAGCAGCAAUCUAUUUUUCCUCCAGCUAGUGAUUGCUGUGAUGGUGGACAAGUUUCCUUUCAUACAGGCUUACAAAGGAGAUGUCUGAGACACUGUCUGUAAUAUUGGGUCACAUAUUAUUCACUACAGCUAACUGUAAAUCUUUCUAUGACGCACUGAAAAGCCUCUUUGUGAAUUAACACUGUUCUGCUUUAUGCAUUUGAUUAAAAAAGAUAUUUCUCUAUAUGCCGUGCAUGUCUGCUUUGCUUUUAAAAUUACAAAGUUAGCAGAAUAUGUUGGAUAUAUUUUCUUGGGGAAUAGGGGUUUUUAUCAUAUGAUUCAUCAAGGAUUUGCCUUACCCUGACAUUUGUGAUAUAAAGGAAAGUCAGAAAAAUGUAAUUUUCUUGAUCAAAAAUAUGUUUUUACUUAAAUGCAAAUAAAUGUAGUCUGUUGCUUGCAAAAUAUAUGGUAUAGUGGCUAAAUAGGUUAACACGUCUCUUUUGUUAAUCUGAGAUUUACAUGCUGAAUUUGCUUAUGAAUCUGUUAUUUUUUCUUUUGUCUGUGCCAUACAUUUGAAAACUUAAACUAAUGAUGCCUUCAUACUACAAUGUUUGUUAAAGCAAAAUGUUAAUAAAAGUUGUUCUGAGGA